GACGAACGCUGGCGGCGUGCUUAACACAUGCAAGUCGAACGAUGAAGAAGAGCUUGCUCUUCGGAUUAGUGGCGAACGGGUGAGUAACACGUGACUAACCUGCUCCUUUCUCUGGGAUAACGCUCCGAAAGGAGUGCUAAUACCGGAUACUCACAUCGAGGCACAUGCCUUGAUGUGGAAAGAUUUUCGGAAAGGGAGGGAGUCGCGGCGUAUCAGCUUGUGGGUGGGGUAACGGCUCACCAAGGCGACGACGGGUAGCCGGCCUGAGAGUGCGACCGGCCACACUGGGACUGAGACACGGCCCAGACUCCUACGGGAGGCAGCAGUGGGGAAUAUUGCACAAUGGGCGAAAGCCUGAUGCAGCGACGCCGCGUGAGGGAUGAAGGUCUUCGGAUUGUAAACCUCUUUCAGCAGGGACGAAGCGAAAGUGACGGUACCUAAAGAAGAAGCACCGGCUAACUACGUGCCAGCCGCCGCCGUAA
rnacentral:rRNA from 1 species